CGUAGGUGAACCUGCGGAGGGAUCAUUACCGAGUUUACAACUCCCAAACCCAAUGUGAACGUUACCAAACUGUUGCCUCGGCGGGAUCUCUGCCCCGGGUGCGUCGCAGCCCCGGACCAAGGCGCCCGCCGGAGGACCAACCAAAACUCUUUUUGUAUACCCCCUCGCGGGUUUUUUUUUAUAAUCUGAGCCUUCUCGGCGCCUCUCGUAGGCGUUUCGAAAAUGAAUCAAAACUUUCAACAACGGAUCUCUUGGUUCUGGCAUCGAUGAAGAACGCAGCGAAAUGCGAUAAGUAAUGUGAAUUGCAGAAUUCAGUGAAUCAUCGAAUCUUUGAACGCACAUUGCGCCCGCCAGUAUUCUGGCGGGCAUGCCUGUCCGAGCGUCAUUUCAACCCUCGAGCCCCUCCGGGGGGUCGGCGUUGGGGAUCGGCCCUGCCUCUUGGCGGCGGCCGUCUCCGAAAUACAGUGGCGGUCUCGCCGCAGCCUCUCCUGCGCAGUAGUUUGCACACUCGCAUCGGGAGCGCGGCGCGUCCACAGCCGUUAAACACCCAACUUCUGAAAUGUUGACCUCGGAUCAGGUAGGAAUACCCGCUGAACUUAAGCAUA
rnacentral:rRNA from 1 species